rnacentral:rRNA from 1 species
CCAGCAGCCGCGGUAAUUCCAGCUCCAAUAGCGUAUACUAAAGUUGUUGCGGUUAAAAAGCUCGUAGUUGGAUCUUGGAAUGUGUUCAAGCGGGUCAGCUUCUGGCUGUGCGCUGCUUGACGUGUUCUUCUAUUUGGUUUUGGUGCGGUGCGCUUAACUGCGUGUCGCUCCCGGCCGAAACGUUUACCUUGAAAAAAUUAGAGUGUUCAAAGCAGACCUGUUUGAGUCUGAAUAUUCGUGCAUGGAAUAAUGAAAUAUGAAUUCGGUUCUAUUUUGUUGGUUUUCGGAACUCGAGUUAAUGAUCAAGAGGGACAGACGGGGGCAUUCGUACUCUGCCGUUAGAGGUGAAAUUCUUGGAUCGGCGGAAGACGCGCAACUGCGAAAGCAUUUGCCAAGAAUGUUUUCUUUAAUCAAGAACGAUAGUCGGAGGUUCGAAGACGAUCAGAUACCGUCCUAGUUUCGACUGUAAACUAUGCCAGCUAACGAUCAGACAGAGUUCUCUACGACUUGUCUGGCAGUUUCCGGGAAACCAAAGCGUUUGGGUUCCGGGGGAAGUAUGGUUGCAAAGCUGAAACUUAAGGAAUUGACGGAAGGGCACCACCAGGAGUGGAGCCUGCGGCUUAAUUUGACUCAACACGGGGAAACUCACCCGGCCCGGACACAGUGAGGAUUGACAGAUUGAGAGUUCUUUCUUGAUUCUGUGGGUGGUGGUGCAUGGCCGUUCUUAGUUGGUGGAGCGAUUUGUCUGGUUAAUUCCGAUAACGAACGAGACUCUGGCAUGUUAAAUAGUCGCGGAAGUGCGUAUGCACUUGCCGAAUUGACUUCUUAGAGGGACUAGUGAUUUUAAUUCACACGAGAUUGAGCAAUAACAGGUCUGUGAUGC